GACGUAGGGCGCGAGCGUUGUCCGGAUUUAUUGGGCGUAAAGAGCUCGUAGGCGGCUAGUUGCGUCGACUGUGAAAACCCGCGGCCCAACCGUGUGGUCUGCAGUCGAUACGGGCUGGCUGGAGUUUGGGAGAGGGAUGCGGAAUUCCAGGUGUAGCGGUGAAAUGCGUAGAUAUCUGGAGGAACACCGGUGGCGAAGGCGGCAUCCUGGACCAACACUGACGCUGAGGAGCGAAAGCCAGGGGAGCAAACGGG
rnacentral:rRNA from 1 species